rnacentral:rRNA from 1 species
CCUACGGGAGGCUGCAGUGGGGAAUAUUGGACAAUGGGCGAAAGCCUGAUCCAGCCAUGCCGCGUGUGUGAAGAAGGCCUUCGGGUUGUAAAGCACUUUCAGUGGGGAAGAAAGCCUUGGGGCUAAUACCCUCGAGGAAGGACAUCACCCACAGAAGAAGCACCGGCUAACUCCGUGCCAGCAGCCGCGGUAAUACGGAGGGUGCGAGCGUUAAUCGGAAUUACUGGGCGUAAAGCGCGCGUAGGCGGUCUGAUAAGCCGGUUGUGAAAGCCCCGGGCUCAACCUAGGAACGGCAUCCGGAACUGUCAGGCUAGAGUGCAGGAGAGGAAGGUAGAAUUCCCGGUGUAGCGGUGAAAUGCGUAGAGAUCGGGAGGAAUACCAGUGGCGAAGGCGGCCUUCUGGACUGACACUGACGCUGAGGUGCGAAAGCGUGGGUAGCAAACAGGAUUAGAUACCCCUGUAGUC